rnacentral:tRNA from 1 species
GGAAUUAUGGUGUAAUCGUUAGCAUGGAUGCCUUCCAAGCAUUCGACGGGGGUUCGAUCCCCUUCCG